rnacentral:rRNA from 1 species
AUACGGGGGGGGCAAGCGUUGUUCGGAAUUACAGGGCGUAAAGCGCGCGGAGGCGGACUUUCAAGUCAGGGGUGAAAUCCCGAGGCUCAACCUCGGAACUGCCUCUGAUACUGAGAGUCUUGAGGCCGAGAGAGGUGAGUGGAAUUCCUAGUGUAGAGGUGAAAUUCGUAGAUAUUAGGAAGAACACCAGUGGCGAAGGCGGCUCACUGGCUCGGUACUGACGCUGAGGCGCGAAAGCGUGGGGAGCAAACAGGAUUAGAAACCCCAGUAGUCC